GUUUGAACAUAAGAAAACUAAAACCUUUCUGGUCUCAAAGGCAAAUACAUCUCCUUCCUUUCCAGCACUCCAAAUUCCCCCAGCAUUUAUACAAUAGCAUUUUCAGAAAUUUUUUCAGAAGAUUCCCCAAACCUCAGAGGGCUCAUUAAAAAGCCUUUGCUUGAAGGAAGAUCCUUUUGUGAAUUAGUAAUGGGUUAGAGGAUGAAAAACAAAGGUGGAAGCUACUGAUCAUCAGUUAAAGGAAUUUUCAAAAAGGCAAGCACAGGAGAGCAGGACAGGUCCUGCAUUGUCCAACACAUCCACAAAUGGGCUGGAAAAAGAUGGUGGAUAGCCAAAGUGGCUAAUGAUAUAAAGCUGUUUCCAACAGUCAAAACCAAAAUCUGCCUGAGAAAGUAACACAGGGAUCUCACAUUAUCAACUGACUGGGUAGUAAAAUGGCAGAAAAAUACAACGCUGAUAAAUACAAAAGAGUGCAUAUGCGAAAAAUACAGCCCUAAUAAAUGCAGCCCAAAUAACUGCUUCUGAAUAAGCAGUUGUCACUCCAGAAGGAGCUCUUGCAGUCACUGUAAAUGUCACCACAAAACCACCAGCUUAACAUUCAGUCCAGGGACUGGGUGUGCCCUUGGCUCACAAACUUGACCUGCUGAUUGCCAGAAACUGGAAGAUAUAAAAGAGGAAGGAACCUUCUGUACUCACCCUGUUUCUCAUAGGUAUCCACUACUUGCCGCUGCUGAGAGAAGAUGGAGCUGUAUGGAUCUUUGCUAUGGCCUAGAACAGCUGCUCUUAUACCCUUAUGUCAAAUUAACAGUUUGAGAGAUGAGAUCUAACCUGGAGCCACAAAGGAAAGUGAAACCAUAGAGGUACACAACCUGACAACAAAUGUCUCAAGUUCCAGACAAAGGAACAAAGCAUCAGAACAAACAAAAAACCUCAUAAGAGAUCACAAGGAAACCCUGGAUUAACCCUUGCCAGUUUAGAAGAUUACUGAGUGUUCUGGUGCUUUAGUCAGGGUUGACUGGCAGUCCAAAAUACCACAAUAAAGCAUCACAGUAACACCUGAAGAGUUCAGAGACAGAUGUAUCAAUAUCUCCUGCAACUGCAAGGGGCUCCGUAGAUGCAAAAAUAGACAGACAUUGGCUUAGAGAGCAGAGUGUAAGCAGAGAAGAGAAUAUCAGCAGUUCCAGGAGUUUUUCCCUCAGAAGGAGGCACUGGUUGAAUAGAAGACCAAUGAACUGCCAACCUGAAAGCAAACAGUAGCCAUCAAAGACUAGUAAUGCUUCUGUGACACACCUUUACUGAUGACUGUGCCUGUAAUGCCAGACAAGGCAUAUUGGAUGUCAUAAUAUCUGAAAAUAUCUUUGGCUUAAUGACCCUGUAUUUACACCAUGUGCAGUGGAGCACAGGUUACAUAUCAGGUCUCCAUCUGUACUUAACUGGGUCACACCAAUGGGACAGUCUGUCAGCAGUGGAUGCUUUCCUCAGGACACACAGUGCUCAGCAGGGGAUGAUGUUAGAAGAACAGGGGUUUUCCAACAGCAGAAUUUGAAGUCCUGGCAUUGUUACUGCAUCCUGAGAUUGACAUGAUUCACAUCCACAAAGAUCUUAAGACAAAUCCUGUUAAGGAGAAGCUACUGGGAAAAUGCCAUCAAAAUAAAAAUCUCUGUCCAGCAUUCUGCCUGGAGGCAGGCCCUGAUUACUGAAUACCAGACUGUACACCCCGGAUUCUGUAAAGUCCUUCUUUGUGCCACCUUGGCCUCAUCCACUGGCUCAGCCCUCACAUCCUGGCAUACUCUACAAGCUGCUGCUAUUACCCAUUAAUGGAAAGGAGAAGCAAGAGGAGUACAAGUAGUGUCUUCCAGCAACUCUGCCUGUUGAGAGCAGCUUCCUGAAAGCUGAUUUUCACUGAAGUAAACCACAGUGAGGAAAACCAUCUCACUGGCUAUUUCUGACCAACCAUCCUUUUUAUCUCCCUUCUUGCCACCUCUGAGAACUAAAUUGUGACGCUGCUUCCCAGGAACCCAGCCCAGGUCUUAUCAGUUCCUGACAGAUCAUGGAUAGCUGACAUGCCUUCUGCCCAUGGCUGCAUGUGACCUUGGGGUUUAGAGAAAGUGAGAUCAGAAGAUAAGAACUACAGAGUAUUUACUUACUUAUUUUUAACAUAGUAAACUUAACAUACUGUCAAAGCAGAAGUUUUGUUGAAUUUUAAGAAGAUUCAGUUUCAUUAUCAGUUUGGUUGGUUGUUAGUUUUCAGGCAAUUGCCUAGAAGACAGUCACUGCUGUUGAAGACUUGACAUUGCCAGAUACAUUUGUGUGUGAAGUCAAGAAGUGGGGAUUACUCUAUUUAUGAUCCUCAUAUCACAAAGAAGUAGGAAAAUCCCUGGAUUUGUGGGAUUACAGGCAAUGCUAAAGUGAUCUCUUUUCAGGGAUACUGACUGAAGACUAUAAGAUUCAGCCAGAGCUUUUUGCUUUUUUCUGAGUUCAUUUAUUCAGUCCAGUCAUCUCAGGAUAGCUUGCUUUUUAAAAUGAACUUUCAAAAUAUUAAAAACCAUGCAGAUACUAAGCAAAAGGAAUAAGAGAAGUAACAAUGAAUCUUGAGAAAUGACAAUGAAUAAACACCUUAU